rnacentral:rRNA from 1 species
UACAGAGGGUGCGAGCGUUAAUCGGAUUUACUGGGCGUAAAGGGCGCGUAGGCGGUUAUGUAAGUGAGAUGUGAAAUCCCUGGGCUUAACCUAGGAACUGCAUCUCAUACUGCGUAGCUAGAGUAUUGUAGAGGGUAGUGGAAUUUCCGGUGUAGCGGUGAAAUGCGUAGAGAUCGGAAGGAACACCAGUGGCGAAGGCGGCUACCUGGACAAAUACUGACGCUGAUGCGCGAAAGCGUGGGGAGCAAACAGG